rnacentral:pre_miRNA from 1 species
GUGCCACACUUGGGGUAUUUGACAAACUGACACUCUACCACACGGAGUGUCCAACUCAGCUUGUCAAAUACACGGAGCGUGGCACU